UUAAAUGAUAAUGUUUUUCCUUUCACAGAAAUCUCAGACUAAACAGCAGGGUGCUGAUGAGAAAACAAUGUGGUAGAGACUCCACAGUCUUAUCCGUGUUAACGUAACAGCCCUCUGGUUCUAUGAAAUCUGUACAUCUGCAAAUGCUAUGGAGGAUGCUUGCGGUCCUGAGCUGUGUCUGUAUUACCCUGUUAGGACAGAUGGGAGAAAGGAGGCACAGAGCAGAUCAAUGAAUUGUCCCAAAAGCAAGCAGGAAGAGUGUGGUUCAGUCAAAUUCUCACAGGUAAAUUUAAUCACUUAUAACAGAUGUAGAGACAUUUCCAGUGCUCCUGUGGAAAAAGAGGCUGAGCUUGCCCUUAACCUCCAUGCACGACACCUCAUCUUUCACAACAUAGAUGACAGGGGUCUAUCUUUGUUCUGA
rnacentral:lncRNA from 1 species